UUAAACAAGAACCUAAGGAUCAAGAUCAGAAAUUGCUGGAGAAACUCAGCAGGCCUGUGGAGAGAAAGCAGAGUUAACAUUUCGGGUCAAGUUGUCCAAGUGGGUCUGGAAAGGACGUUCCUCUUGUAGAUCUGUGUGCAGCAAACACAAAAAUUGGCUAAGGCCAGCAGAAACUGCUACUGCCUGGUGCUCAGUCUGUGGAGAAAGACCAUGACAUCAUCCACCCAGGAGGAUCGGAGUGCAUCAUCGCAUCAUCAGUUUUUGUUGUAGAUAUCUGAAAGGUGCAGGCCUCUUGUCCACAGCCACGUUGGAGGGAGUUCGCUGGGUGGUAGUACACUCUGGAGAUUUUGAACACUUGGGGCAGUCAUCCCCCAGCACCUAUCAGCCAAGAAGGUCCAAGCCUACUGAGAGUACCCUGCUCAGCUGGAGACUCACCGUCCUCAGCCUCACCUGCUACAAGCAUUGGGGUCACAGGCAGGAAAAGCAUAGAGGGGCAUUUUUUUUUUCUUUAUUCAUUCAUGGGA